CGCAAAACUUAACUCAUUUCUUCUUUUUCUUGAACAGGUCACCGCUGACACUCGGAAGGCCCUUUUCGAGGAGCUUUUGUGGGAGCACCGGGAGCUCGCUGAGGCACAUGACAAGUGCCAAGUGAUCCCGGAAGCUUCCAUCGAUGCUCUGAAAGAGCAGCUCGCCGAGGCCCAACGGGAAAAGGACGAGCUCAACCGGCAGCACCAGGAUGAGCUGAACGCCCUCAAGACCAGCUACCAGGAUCUCAAGUCUCAGCUGAUUCAGCUGGGGCUCGAUCACGCCAAGGCCCUCAAAGCCGCUGAAGUGAGCGCAGCGGCCAAGUUGGACGAGGCUCUGGAGGAUGCUUCCAAUGCCACUGUGGUG